CCCUUACCUUCCAUCUUGGAGUCAAUACUUGUACUGUAUUGUAACCCCCUGUCUAUUUGUUUUAAUCCCCAGAAAUGUAAGCACAGUACUUGAAGUUGAGUGGGAAGAUCUGCCCAUGUUAGAUCUGAUCACCAAGGAUGUAAAUCUCCCACUUAAUCAUGAGGUUGAAUGUGAAAACUGUGUCCCAUCCAUCAUUUCACUGACACUGUCCUACCUCCAAGACCCCAUCCCCUGUGGGAGGUUGGCCCACCCCACAGCAACUGGCGCCCAGGAUCAUGGACUCUUGGCUAGUUAAGAGACAGCACCUUGGAAACAGCAAGAUGGAUUUUUCAUUCCUUCACCCUUUUUUCUUCCUCAAGAUCUUGAGUAAACACCUUAAUUCUUAAAAGCAUGCUUUUGUGUUUAAUGUUUAUUUUGUGCGUCUCUAUGUGUGUCUGUGGUAACAAGUCCUCCUCUCAGUGUCUUCCUAAUUGGGCAUUCACAAAUUAUGAUCAGAGUCUUCCUGAAAGGAAGUAA
rnacentral:lncRNA from 1 species